CAAGUAUCCUUAGUUAAGGUUUUCUUUUUAAGUAGUACUGGACCAAUCAGCAUUGAACUUUACUGGUACUCUAGGGAGAAUUAAAAACUAUCCAGUAUCAAUAAAGGUUUAAUUCAUUUAUAUAUAUUUUUUAUUCGGAAUGAACAACAAGGUUUAUCGAUUCCCUACUCAAUCGUAACUUUCUCUCCGUAUAGUCAAUUGAGUGGCAGUCAAAUGGCGUGGACACGGGGAAACCUAUGGAUAUCACUGAGGAAGAGGAACUUGAGAGGAUAACCGGGAUGUUACAGAGAGAUAACUUAGUACGUGGUGUAGGCAUUGUUGAAGAGGUUUAUAAAUUACUUCAUUGUACGCCUGGCACCGGUGGACCUAGAAAGGAC